AAGGUAGCAUAAUCAUUUGCCCUUUAAUUAAGGGCUAGUAUGAAUGGAUUUUCCUUAUUUAUCUGCCUCAUUAAACCCAAUAUAAAUUUAUAUUCAUUUGAAGAAAACUGAAUUAAAUUAAAGGACCAGAAGACCCUAUAGAGCUCUGUAAAAAUUUUAUAUACUAUAAAUUUACUUACUUAGUUGGGGCGACAAUAGAGUUUCUCCCUCUCUAAACCAGCCCACUAUUUACAAAUUUUUAACUUUCAAUAAAAACUAGAAAAAGCUACCUUAGGGAUAACAGUCUAAUUUUUCUCAAUAGUCCACAUUAACAGAAAAGAUUUGCACCUCGAUGUUGGCUUAGGGAUCCUAUUAACGCAAAAGUUAAUAAAGGUAGGUUUGUUCAACCUAUAUAACCCUACGUGAUC
rnacentral:rRNA from 1 species